rfam:Schistosoma haematobium scaffold1993_5, whole genome shotgun sequence.
AUCCAGCUGACGACUCUCAAAUAGGAAGAAACGCGCGUCAAAUUGGAU